ACUCCUACGGGAGGCAGCAGUGGGGAAUUUUGGACAAUGGGCGAAAGCCUGAUCCAGCAAUGCCGCGUGAGUGAAGAAGGCCUUCGGGUUGUAAAGCUCUUUUGUCAGGGAAGAAACGGUGAGAGCUAAUAUCUUUUGCUAAUGACGGUACCUGAAGAAUAAGCACCGGCUAACUACGUGCCAGCAGCCGCGGUAAUACGUAGGGUGCAAGCGUUAAUCGGAAUUACUGGGCGUAAAGCGUGCGCAGGCGGUUUUGUAAGUCUGAUGUGAAAUCCCCGGGCUCAACCUGGGAAUUGCAUUGGAGACUGCAAGGCUAGAAUCUGGCAGAGGGGGGUAGAAUUCCACGUGUAGCAGUGAAAUGCGUAGAUAUGUGGAGGAACACCGAUGGCGAAGGCAGCCCCCUGGGUCAAGAUUGACGCUCAUGCACGAAAGCGUGGGGAGCAAACAGGAUUAGAAACCCGUGUAGUCCCAUGAU
rnacentral:rRNA from 1 species